rnacentral:lncRNA from 1 species
GAAAGGAUGAGAUUGCUCAGCUUCCAGUUGCAGCCUCGAUGGUACGGGGACUCGAGCAGAGCGCCGAGGUUCAGGAUGUGCUGGAGGGUGGAUCACAGAUGGUGGAACAAGUGGAGAGUCUGGGAGAGCUCCCACUGAAGUUGGCGACCUGCUUCCAGCUCCCACUGAAGGUGAUGAUCCACGUCCAGCUCCCACUGAAGAUGAGCCGAGGAAGAACUCAGGAGCAGCUUGAAAUUCCUCGUCGCUCUCGAAGUAAGUGUUCAUCAGCUCUUCAGAGAAGCUAGGUGUUCUCACUGGAGGAGAUUCUUGCAGAGGCAUAGCUGGAGGGCGUGGUGGCAGUGCUGGAGGAAUCACCACAUUACCACCAGCAGGAGCAAGAGGCAGCAACGGGACUUGAGAAGGAGCUGUAGUCACGUGAACUGUGGGAGUUCCAUGAAAGUAGGAGCAGGAACUUCAGCACGAUCCUUGUACAGCUUGCUCUCAUCAAAGAGCACAUCCCAUCUUUCCAGCAAAGUCUUGCGCUUGAGAGAAUAAAGGCGAUAUCCUUUCAUGCCUUCCAAAUAUCCCAGGAAAAUGGAUGGCUCAGCCUUUGACUCCAGUUUGCGGUGUUGCUUGUGUGGAAUGUGUGCAUAGGCGAAACAGCCAAAAAUGCGGAGAUGAUCGUAACCAGGUGCGUGACCAGUCUAAAGCUCAUAAGGUGUGCAGGGCACGUGUUGGCAACCGGUUUCGAACAUAAACAGCCGUGUUAACUGCCUCACCCCAGAAAGCAGCCGGCAUUCCCGCAUGAAGCAGCAUACAGCGCGCAGCUUCUAUGAUGGUGCGAUUCACC